rnacentral:lncRNA from 1 species
AAAUUGACAAAUUAAUCAAUGGAUCAUAACCAAGAUAUGCAAUGACACACAUAAAUGAACACUUUAUAUAUGGCAGUAACAGCAGUGCGUGGUCCUAAAAACCAAAAAGAUAAUCUUUUCAGCAAAUGGUGCUGGGAAGACAGAAUAUCCCUAUGGAAAAAAUGAAACUGUACCCUUUCUCUCACCAUACACAGAAACCAGUUCCAGGCUAAUUAAAACCUAGAAGUGGCCCCUGCCCUCCUUCCCUUCCUUUUCUGAACAAUUCAGCCCUGAAACCUUGAGCUGUAAUCCCAAUGUCCAGAAAAGCAAAUGGCAUAUAGAAGGACAAAAGAAGUACAUGAGAAUUAACACUAGAUGGCGCAAGAUUACAACGAAAGUAAGCCUAAUCAACCCAUCAUUUCCUCCUGACUGGAACUGCCUCAAGAAAAGCCUGUGUCGCCAAGUUUCCUCUGGCCUCCCCGCUCCCAGCCCGUUGAUGUUAACUUUGCUGUAAUAACUCGAAUUUCAAUCACUCAUGCCCCACCUGCAUAAACGUUCUUCUACCCUGCCAAGUAUUGCAGUUCUUCCAUGCGCCAGUGCAUGUUAUCAAGCUCCUCCUCCCCACUCCUGGCAACCCCCCAAC